CGGGUGAGUAAUGCUUAGGAAUCUGCCUAUUAGUGGGGGACAACAUUCCGAAAGGAAUGCUAAUACCGCAUACGUCCUACGGGAGAAAGCAGGGGAUCUUCGGACCUUGCGCUAAUAGAUGAGCCUAAGUCGGAUUAGCUAGUUGGUGGGGUAAAGGCCUACCAAGGCGACGAUCUGUAGCGGGUCUGAGAGGAUGAUCCGCCACACUGGGACUGAGACACGGCCCAGACUCCUACGGGAGGCAGCAGUGGGGAAUAUUGGACAAUGGGGGGAACCCUGAUCCAGCCAUGCCGCGUGUGUGAAGAAGGCCUUAUGGUUGUAAAGCACUUUAAGCGAGGAGGAGGCUACUGAGACUAAUACUCUUGGAUAGUGGACGUUACUCGCAGAAUAAGCACCGGCUAACUCUGUGCCAGCAGCCGCGGUAAUACAGAGGGUGCGAGCGUUAAUCGGAUUUACUGGGCGUAAAGCGUGCGUAGGCGGCUUUUUAAGUCGGAUGUGAAAUCCCCGAGCUUAACUUGGGAAUUGCAUUCGAUACUGGGAAGCUAGAGUAUGGGAGAGGAUGGUAGAAUUCCAGGUGUAGCGGUGA
rnacentral:rRNA from 1 species